GACGGACGCUGGCGGCGUGCUUAACACAUGCAAGUCGAACGGAAAGGCCCCAGCUUGCUGGGGUACUCGAGUGGCGAACGGGUGAGUAACACGUGGGUGAUCUGCCCUGCACUCUGGGAUAAGCCUGGGAAACUGGGUCUAAUACCGGAUAGGACCGUGCUUUAGUGUGUGCGGUGGAAAGUUUUUCGGUGCAGGAUGAGCCCGCGGCCUAUCAGCUUGUUGGUGGGGUAAUGGCCUACCAAGGCGGCGACGGGUAGCCGGCCUGAGAGGGUGUACGGCCACAUUGGGACUGAGACACGGCCCAGACUCCUACGGGAGGCAGCAGUGGGGAAUAGUGCACAAUGGGCGCAAGCCUGAUGCAGCGACGCCGCGUGGGGGAGGACGGCCUUCGGGUUGUAAACCCCUUUCGGCAGGGACGAAGCUUUUGUGACGGUACCUGCAUAAGAAGCACCGGCUAACUACGU
rnacentral:rRNA from 1 species